CGCGCGCGUGUGUCGGCUGAGGAAGGCUGGGUCUUGCCUGCGAAACUCUUCGAUGAUUUCUGCUUUGGAGCCGACUGACUCCUGAAGGCGACUUAACAGCAGUGUGUCUUUGCAGAACUAUGGUUGUACACACCUGUCAGUUACCCGCCCCCCGUACCCCGCCGGCCGUUGCACAUGCUUCGGAUUUAGUAAACACUCACGGGGUGUCCUGCGUGUGCCGGGCGGAAUCCGUGGAAGGCCGUUCUCGUUCCUGGAGGCACUCGCAGGUCAGGGGAGGAGACGAAGCAUCGCCGUGCAGCGGGGUGAGUGCUGGAAGUAGCCCAGCAGCGUUUGAGCCACCUCAGUAGCGGCGUGGGUAGCGGGGAGGCUUUCGAAAGAAGUUCUCAGGGACUGAGCAGAGCCUUAGCCAGGUGAAGGGACGUUCUGGAAGCGAGGGACAUGCCAGGGAGAGGUUUCUCAACUGAAGGAAAAGGAAAAAAAAAAGGAGGAAAGAAGAAGUAUUUGGAAAUUGGACAAAUGAAAAAUUCUCUCUACAAAUAUUAGUAACUACAGAUCUCUGUGUCUGUGUGUGUGUGUGUGUAUAUAUAUAUAUUUGUAUAUAUGUUAUAUAUUGUAUAUAUGUGAUAUUUUCCUACAGAUAGUAUUCCCAAAAUUUGUACAGUAGCUCUAUAUAGUUGGUUUGAAGGCAAGCACUUGUAAGGAUUGGCUAUUCUAAAGCCCUCAGAAAUAUAAAAACUAACCCAAACACUUUUUAGUUCACGUGAUCUAGGAUCAAUCUUUAAUGAAUAAAAGCUAAUUGAAGUAUGUUGGUUUAAUUAAAAUAGACCUGUCUUUAGAGUUAUCAAUAUUAAAUAUAACACUUAUGGUACUUGGGUUUACUAACCAAAUAAGUUUAUAUUAUAACUGUUAAAAAUUUUAAACAGCAACAACAACAAAAACAAACCAUUUUGGGGGAGAAUGGUUGGCUUUGUCUGAUGUCUCAUGUGAGUAAUCUGAAUGUAAUUAUUAGGAGCAAUUAAAUUGAAUAGAUACAAAUAAGAUAAAAAGUUUUUAAGUAAACUUUUAAAAUAGUUUUACCAAACUGUUUUGGUAACUUAAAACUUUAAAGUUGCUAAGUUAAGUGAUGAGUUAAGUUAAAUUCAUUGAAUAUCUAGAUCACUUCCAAAUAAGGUGAAAUAAUGAAACUUUAAUUACUGAAUAUAAAUGUAUUUACUUUUGAAUUCCUUAUUACAGAGAAAUUAAGGAUAAAUUUGGGACUGUUGGUAAACAUGUUUGGUGCUUUAUUGAAAGAUUAUACUAUGAAGAAGCACAUAGUAAUGGUUCUAGAAAUUAUGAAAAGUAUUAAAAAUUUUGCCAAUCUAAAGAAAGUUGGUAUAACAGUACACAGUUGUUUACUUCAUAGUUUUCAUUAGAAAUUAGGUUUCUAAGAGUUAAGGAUUCUAAUGUAAUUAAAGCUACUAGAAAUAAUCAUGGAAACAUCUCUGUAUGCAAAGAGAAUACGAUGUGUGUUUUUAGUAAGAAAGGAUAUAAGGAGUAGAAAUGCUUUUUUUUUUUUUUUUUUUUUUGGUUAAAAAUAAUUUUGUCCUAAAGUGAGGUUGACUUUAGGAUGAAAUUUGUCUCUAUUUAAAAAAGGAAAACAUAAGAAAAAAUCUGAAUAUAAAAAAGAAAAUUGUAGAAGGUUUCAGGGAAAGGGAUCUUCAGAAAGGAAUUUUAUGCAGGGUCAGUGAGGUAAGAAACAAAAGCAGAAAAAAAAUUAUUAAAUUUCUGUACUAUCUAUAGCCCAUUGACAAGUUCUUGAAACAGACAUUCCUCUAAGAACUAAGCUGCCUCGUUGUUAAUACUUUGCUAAUAGCAAAGGCUAUCUUAGCUGGACCCCCAGGAUCCUUUUAAGUCUACUUUAACAUAUAAAAAUUCCUUUGGAAACUUCCUUUAUCUUUACCUCCCAAGGUAUAUGUUGGCGAUCAUAUUCCCAAGCAUAUGGCCCAUAAAUAUACAUUGAUGACUCAGGUUUUAUUAGACAAUAAUAAAUGACCUUUCCCCAACAAUAUCUAGCCCCUCAACGUCUUGGAAACCUUGCUUCCAAAAUUCCUUAGAGACUUAACGCUAUUCCCUAAUCCCCUCCCAACUUGAAAAUAUAUAGUGGGCCACUCUCUUCAUGACCCCAGUGCAGCUUUUUCUGCCCAGGGGUCCAGUCCCUAUGCUUUAAUAAAACCACCUUUUUUAUACCAAAGACGUCUCAAGAAUUCUUGGCUGUCGGCUCCAGGCUUUACCUACAUUCAAAGCUGUAUCAGUCAGGACUGGCUAAGGUAGAAAGAAUUUAAUUAUGUAAAUGAGCUUUACUAUCCAAAGUAUUACUGCUGUAAGUUUAGAAUUUUGUUUUUCUCUUUGUUAGAAUGACAGUUUUCUCAGAUUAUUGGUCUCUUCCUAAUAAGAGAUUGUAAACAAAGGUUUUUCUUUAUUUUUAGCAUAAUGUGUUUCAAAAUAAAGAUUCUAUGUUUUAUAUUUAUCAAGUUUUUGAUUUUUUAGGAAAACUGAAUAUCUUAUCUUAAAAGAACUAAGUUUUCGGGGCACCUGGGUGGCUCAGUGGUUGAGCGCCUGCCUUAGGCUCCCUGCAGGGAGCCUGCUUCUCCUUCUGCCUAUGUCUCUACUUCUCUCUCUGUGUCUCUCAUGAAUAAAUAAAUCUUUUUUAAAAAAGUAAAUAAAAGAAAUAAGUUUUGCUAACCUUUUAUGUUAGCAAGGUUAUGUAUGUAACCUUCUGUAACCUAUGUAUGUAACCUAUGUAACCUUCUGUGUUUGCCUUUAAAAUCUUUUAUUGCCACAUUGGUUGAAUAGAUAAUUAAGUUUUAAGUUUUGUAAUGGUCUCUGAUCUUAUUUAGGCAAGAACUUUAAAACCUUUUUUUAAAAAAAUAUUUUUGACAGCGUUGUCUGGGUGGCUCAGUUGGUUAAACGUCUGCCUUUUGCUUAGGUCAUGAUGCCAGAGUCCUUGGCUCUGUGGAGCCCUGUGUCAGGCUUCCUGCUGGGCUCUUCCAAGAAGAACCUGCUUCUCCCUCUCCCUCUGCCACUCCCCCCUGCUUGUGUGCUCUUUCUCUCUGAAAUAAAUAAAUAAAAAUAAACAAAUAUUUUUUUUUACAAACUUCCAGAAAUCAAGUUUUGACUAAAUUCUUUUUCAUGUAGAAACUUACUAUUGAGAUAUGAGAUAUUCCCGAGAGUCCCUGAAACAUCUCAAAAGAUUUGUUCUCUGACCUUAUAAAGAGAGAGAUUAAACUAGGUAAGCUCAUUUGGUAUGUUAAAUUAUAUGGGAAGCAUUGUCAAAUAAAUAAUGAUAAACUGUCUUAGGUUAUAUUAUAUGUGUGAAUACUAAUAUAAUCUAUUUUUUUAGAGAUUUAUUUAUUCAUGAGAGACACAGAGAGAGGCAGAGACAUAGGCAGAGGGGGAAGCAGGCUCCCCACAGGGAGCCUGAUGUGAGACUCUAUGCGGGACUGGAUGUGGGACUGGAUCCUCAGACCCAUGAUCAUGCCCUGAGCAGAAGGCAGAUGCUCAACCACUGAGCCACCCAGGAAUCCCUAAUAUAACUAUUUAUAACAUGUAUGAAAUUUUUAAAAUUUUAAUAUGUCGUAGUAUAAUGAAUGUUAUCACUUGUACUUCUAAUUACUGAAGUGUCGUAUGUCACAGAAAUAACCACAUUUCCUUGUCAAGUCCAUUAUAACGAGUUCUCUUCAGUUCUCUAAUGAUUACAAAUUUUUAAAAAGUCUUUUGUCAUAUACAGACAGCUAUUUUACUCUGAUACUUUUCCAAAAGCUUCCUUACAAAAGUGCUUCAUCCUCAAGGAGAUUCAUGGAAAGAACUUUUGACAAAUACAGGUUUUUCUUAACCUUAAUGUCAUACUACUGAACUGGGUAAGAAUUUCCAGAACUGGUGGGAAAACUGGAUUCGAACCCAACAAGAAUUAAAUAACACAGGACUGAAUGAACUGAAGAAGAGGAUUAUCAUUUCUGUGACUUAUUUGAAACAUUGCUGGUUCUCUAGUGUUUACUUUUUCAGAUCUAAAUAAACUUUUUCUUUUAAGCUA